AUUGAACGCUGGCGGCAGGCUUAACACAUGCAAGUCGAGCGGAGAGAGGUAGCUUGCUACUGAUCUUAGCGGCGGACAGGUGAGUAAUGCUUAGGAAUCUGCCUAUUAGUGGGGGACAACAUUUCGAAAGGAAUGCUAAUACCGCAUACGUCCUACGGGAGAAAGCAGGGGAUCUUCGGACCUUGCGCUAAUAGAUGGGCCUAAGUCGGAUUAGCUAGUUGGUGGGGUAAAGGCCUACCAAGGCGACGAUCUGUAGCGGGUCUGAGAGGAUGAUCCGCCACACUGGGACUGAGACACGGCCCAGACUCCUACGGGAGGCAGCAGUGGGGAAUAUUGGACAAUGGGCGCAAGCCUGAUCCAGCCAUGCCGCGUGUGUGAAGAAGGCCUUAUGGUUGUAAAGCACUUUAAGCGAGGAGGAGGCUACUUUAGUUAAUACCUAGAGAUAGUGGACGUUACUCGCAGAAUAAGCACCGGCUAACUCUGUGCCAGCCGCCGCAGUAA
rnacentral:rRNA from 1 species